CUCGCCCUUAAAGUUACUUUCGAGACGCCCACUCACUACUGUAACCACAGAAGCCGCGCACGCAGUGAUCUGAUUGGGUGCUGCAGAGCGCGUCUUUUACUGUUGUGAGUAGAGCCUAAGGAUGCUUUAUAAAUAGAAGACCCCAUGUGUCAACUUGAACUUGACUUCUUGAACAGUUAAAGUAUUCUAUUAGUCAUCGACGCAUUAUUCCCGCUUUUCAGAAUGUCUACAGAAAACUUCAGAAUGUCUACAGACAACUUUUCAGACUUGGAGCUGGAGCUAACUGAUCUGCUCCAGGAGUUCGCUGAUGUGGUUGAUGAGUUGAGAGAGCCUUCACAAAGCGUCCCAUAUGCAUACGAGCGGCUCCUGUCUGAUGCCAAACGGCGCACCGGGCUAGGGGACGACGGCUCAGUGGUCAGCGACAGCGGCGUGGAGGACAAUAGUGACUGCACCAGAAUGGGAGACACAGGAGACCUACAGAGAUUCAUCGACAGUUUGGACCGGGAACUUGCUGAUAUGUGAACGGAAAGCGACGGAGAGAUGUAGAGGGAGAGACGGAGAGAGAGAUGGAGAGAGAGACGGAGAGACCAGGUGGAGAGAGAAGAGAGAACAGGCUGCAUGGAUGGCUACUGCUGAACACACACACAAACACAUCUAAAAUAGCACAGUUCUGUCCUGCUGUGUUCGGAGAGAGCCAGCUCUGUCCUGGCCCCUCUGGGGGAAAAAAGGUUAAACAUGAGGAAUUAAAAGAACAUCAUGUUCCAAUAUCUAGAACACUUCCCUCAGACUGGUGACGUAUUCACACCUAAAUGUAUCUCUUCAACAGGAGAACAUGAACGUGUAUCUCUUCAACAGGAGAACAUGAACGUGUAUCUCUUCAACAGGAGAACAUGAACGUGUAUCUCUUCAACAGGAGAACAUGAAUGGGUGCCAUUUCAUAUGCAGAUAUGAAGGAAACAAAUCAGUGGGGGGGAAGCAGAGACUCCACAGUAUCUUGUGAUUAGUAAGUGUUUAUGCCAACCUGCUGUUAUCACAACCCAAUGUGUUGGAACCUCCUCAUGUACAGUAGUUGUAAAAAUGCUAUGUUUUAUAUUGUAAAGUGAUGUACAGUAUUAUAUUACCUAUACUACAAACAGACCAGUCUAACCUGAUGUUGAUUUUUGUACACAGGAAUACACAGAUGAAUAAAGAUACUAAUUUAAAAAAUAAAUAAUG